CUUGUAUCUCCUGCAUUCGCAGGCAGAUUCUUUACCACUUGUGGCACCUGAGAAGGGCUGCUGCUUUUGGGUUGCAGGAGGCAGGGACCAUCUUCAUCUGUCAUUUUUGUGCACAGUUGGGGAUGGUAAGAAGUCACAGACUCUGAGGGACUGGCAGGAACCUUAGAUCUUUUCUUCCCUUUCACUUCUACAGACGUGGAGACAGAGGUCCAGAGAGCUCCAGGACUGAGAAUACCACUCUUGCCCCCUGCUCCCACCCCCCUUUUUUCCCCUUGCUGUACUACUGCUAGGGAAUCUGAGGACUGAGUGAUUAGGUGUAAAAAGGAGCGGGGGGUGGUUGUUCCAGGGCAUUGGAUCUUCAUCACCUCCCUGGUGGUUAUCUGCCCAGACGGGUCUCUGCUUCCUUUCCCAUCUCUGAGGAAGACACCUGCUAGCCCUGGCCCCAAGACUCAAGGUCACUGAGCUUGCUGUUUCCGACUUUUCCCCGGGUCCACUGGGCACCUGCUGACCUGCUGGUUAGUAGCUGUGCAGAUUGAUCUGUCUGAUCUUAAGGCAUGUAAUGGCUCCACCGGCAGGACCAUGGGUCUUGGUGACCCACUUUCUCCCCUGGCCCUUUGGACUCAUCCUCAGACAACUGAGUUUGUGUGAAUGCCACUUUACCAGCAACAGGAAGGGGGUGCCUACUUUUUCAUCUUGCCCACGACAUCCUGCAUCAGAUGUUUCUCUGCCCACCUAUCAGCCUGAAGACACUGGCUUGGCUCCACCUGGUUUCCUAAUGCUGGAUCUCUCUGGAGAUGGGGCCUCAUCUUCAACACGCACCCAAAGCAGCAAGUCUCUCAUAUCCUUCCACUGUAGUGAUCUCUUGUCUGGGCUGAAAGAUGAUCUUUUCUUCUGGGCUGUUCUUUUCCUCUUUCAGCUUAUUUCCAAGCACCAUUCAGGCCCUGGUGAGAGUUUGGAUGCUCUUGUUUGA
rnacentral:lncRNA from 1 species